AGCGAACGCUGGCGGCAGGCCUAACACAUGCAAGUCGAACGGACCCUUCGGGGUUAGUGGCGGACGGGUGAGUAACACGUGGGAACGUGCCUUUAGGUUCGGAAUAGCUCCUGGAAACGGGUGGUAGUGCCGAAUGUGCCCUUCGGGGGAAAGAUUUAUCGCCUUUAGAGCGGCCCGCGUCUGAUUAGCUAGUUGGUGAGGUAAUGGCUCACCAAGGCUACGACCAGUAGCUGGUCUGAGAGGAUGACCAGCCACAUUGGGACUGAGACACGGCCCAAACUCCUACGGGAGGCAGCAGUGGGGAAUCUUGCGCAAUGGGCGAAAGCCUGACGCAGCCAUGCCGCGUGGAUGAUGAAGGUCUUAGGAUUGUAAAAUCCUUUCACCGGUGAAGAUAAUGACUGUAGCCGGAGAAGAAGCCCCGGCUAACUUCGUGCCAGCCGCCGCGGUAAUAC
rnacentral:rRNA from 1 species